UACGUAGGGGGCGAGCGUUGUCCGGAGUUACUGGGCGUAAAGGGCGCGCAGGCGGUCUGGCAAGUUUGGAGUGACAGUGCUCGGCUUAACUGAGCAAGGCCUUCGAAAACUGCUAGACUUGAGCACUCAAGAGGGACAUAGAAUUCCGGGUGGAGUGGUGAGAUGCGUAGAUAUCCGGAGGAAUACCAAAGGCGAAGGCAGUGUCCUGGGGAGUGUCUGACGCUCAGGCGCGAAAGCUAGGGGAGCGAACAGG
rnacentral:rRNA from 1 species